rnacentral:rRNA from 1 species
AACGAACGCUGGCGGCAUGCCUAACACAUGCAAGUCGAACGAGACCUUCGGGUCUAGUGGCGCACGGGUGCGUAACGCGUGGGAACCUGCCCUUAGGUUCGGAAGAACUCCCCGAAAGGGGUGCUAAUACCGGAUAAUGUCUUCGGACCAAAGAUUUAUCGCCUUUGGAUGGGCCCGCGUUGGAUUAGCUAGUUGGUAGGGUAAAAGCCUACCAAGGCGACGAUCCAUAGCUGGUCUGAGAGGAUGAUCAGCCACACUGGGACUGAGACACGGCCCAGACUCCUACGGGAGGCAGCAGUGGGGAAUAUUGGACAAUGGGCGGAAGCCUGAUCCAGCAAUGCCGCGUGAGUGAUGAAGGCCUUAGGGUUGUAAAGCUCUUUUACCCGGGAUGAUAAUGACAGUACCGGGAGAAUAAGCUCCGGCUAACUCCGUG